GACGGGGGGUGCAAGCGUUAUCCGGAAUCACUGGGCGUAAAGCGUCUGUAGGUGGUGAUGCAAGUCACUGGUGAAAAACUCUGGCUCAACCGGAGGAAAGCCAGUGAAACUGCAUGACUAGAGUGUGGGAGAGGUAGAAGGAAUUCCCUGAGUAGCGGUGAAAUGCGUAGAGACAGGGAAGAACACCGGAGGCGAAAGCGUUCUACUGGAACACAACUGACACUGAGAGACGAAAGAUAGGGGAGCGAAUGGG
rnacentral:rRNA from 1 species